GGCCUAGGCUUGGGUUUCUGUCUUGACUCAUUCCUUCCUCACAGGGUGAGCGUGGGUGCGGAUAUACUGGACCACAGAGCAGACUUUAGCUGCCUCUGGAGAAAGCACCAGCUUCACUUCCAGCUGGUUCCAGGAAGGCAUCAUCGUUGCAUCGGAUUAUCUGUUCAUCCCUCACACCAUCAGCCCCACCACUGAUCUUGGGUGGUGGGCUAGACAGCCCACAUCUAGAAUGGAUUAGACACCUAACAGCCAUGCCUUCCCAUCACAAUGGACUACUACUGUGAUGGACCAUCUCCAACGUGAUGAAUGACACCCAUCCAUCCUGGACCCUGCUGAUGGCCCAGCUCGUCCAUCAUGGCUCAGAGCUCCCAGCUGAUGUAUUAGUGGCUGAAGAAUGGAUUGCUCAGAGCUCAAUCUACUUGGGAAAGAAACUGAGCCAAAUAGUGGAUUCAAUCGAAUUACUUGUUCACUCUGGCCAGAGCUGAGAGCCACUCUGGCAGCCCCUCUUGGGCUUCUGCAGAAAUAUGACUUGCACUCCCUGAGCCACUGG